CUCGGUACAUGUGACAAAUACAAUUUGAUUUGAUGAUUUGAUUGAAUAUGUACAGGGUUUUACAACCUUUGUCUGGAAUAAAAGCCAGCAAAUUAAACACUAAACAACAUCCUAUGACAAAGUCCAAAGGUGCCACCUCCCACUCCUACUGCUGGGUGUAAUCAUUAGUCCAAACAGUUCCAAAAAAAACCGAGAGAUUCUAUUGGACAGAUUAAGGUAGGUCCCGCCCUGUUUCGUUCCGUUUACGAAACGUUUCGCAACAGAAUCGGGAUAAUGACUACACCCCUGUUAACGCUAAUGUUCCCCUGGCGAAUUGUUUGCGGAAGUGGAAGCUUGAACAAUAAACAGUUCAAUUAAUAAUCUCUGUUGUAAUGCGAGAUACACUCAACUUAUUCAAUUAUCUCGUUAUUUGCGUCGUUGGUUUACAAUGAAUGUGUCAAAAAAUCAGCAACACACAUUGACGAGUAUUUAGUGAUUUAUUCUGCCCUCCCAAAACAACUGGAAACGCGUCCUACUACGUCGUCGUCAGCUGAGACAGGCGACAUGGCGACUUCAGCGGGCUUCAAGGUUCUAUAUGAGCAUGAUGGAGUUUUUAUACACACCAACCCAGAAAGGAGUGAGGAGCAGGACUCUCUGACUUCAGGAUCCCUGCGUGUCCUGGACCAGGAUGGAGACAUAGUGCUGGAAUAUAAACCCAUGGAAGAUGUUGACCACUCUGCCAUGCUGUGUGCUGCCAAGCUUAAAGGGAACAUUAGUCAGCAUUAUGAUGACAACACUCCACAUUUU
ensembl:lncRNA